UACGUAGGGGGCAAGCGUUGUCCGGAAUCAUUGGGCGUAAAGCGCGUGUAGGCGGCCCGGUAAGUCCGCUGUGAAAGUCCAGGGCUCAACCCUGGAAUGCCGGUGGAUACUGUCGGGCUCGAGUCCGGAAGAGGCGAGUGGAAUUCCUGGUGUAGCGGUGAAAUGCGCAGAUAUCAGGAGGAACACCAAUUGCGAAGGCAGCUCGCUGGGACGUUACUGACGCUGAGACACGAAAGCCAGGGGAGCGAACGGG
rnacentral:rRNA from 1 species